ensembl:lncRNA
GGAAGAGUCUGAGUCAAACAUACAAUUUGCAGACUGUGCAAAUGGAAAAAGUGCUGUCAGCCUUAGAGAGUGGGAGCCUCUGCCUAAUAUUCAAGAGAACUCUAUGCCUGCCAAUCUGGCGCUGAACCCAUUUGACUCCGAUAUAGAGGAAGUUGUAUCUGCAUAGGUUGUUCAUGAGUCUCAGCUGACUGAUGUUUGCGUCAACUGAGGACCACGUCUUAAUACCGAGUGACAUAAUGGAAGCAACAGAAAUGAACUCUCCAAAUAAGAUCAUGUUGAGACUGCCACCUUUGAAGACCGCCACUUUCUG